AUGAACACAAUGUUAAUCACGCGAAUGAACGUAGCGUUAUCACCGGUAGUUAGCGAAUAUCACCGUUGUUUCCGCCUCGUCGAAGUGAAUUUGUCGGUGACUGAACUGAGUUUGCUAGAGUGGACCGAUGAAAACCUCCAGAAGCUGUACGCUGCAAUGAAAAGCAACCUCCCCGAGCAGAGCAGAACGUGCUCUUACUUCAGGGUACUGAAAGGUCUGGACUGGACUACGGUGGCUUUCCCUCCUUUCUCUGCUGAAGAGUGCCAAGCAAAGUGGGGACAAGUUUUGCACAAGGCACGAAACGACACCUUCCAAAAAUGCAGCUUUUACUACAGAUCCCAACCCAACACCCCAACAGGUCCUGUGUCCAUUCUCCAAAGGAUGCGCAAGUAUCGGUCCCUCACAGAGCUCAUAGACGAAGCUGAAUGUGUCCUUUCAAAUACUCACCAACAAAGUGAGGCUGUAGUGAAAUGUCUUGUUGAGCCCAAGAUGCCAGCCCGAUCUGGUAAUUCCAUUUUUGUAAAAGAUCAGAUGGCACUUCUUAAGGAGCAAGUCCCAAAUGCAAGGAACCGCUUCCUCAAAGCCAACCAAAACUGGAAUGACCUCUCCACAGAGGAGAAGAAAUGCUACAAAAUAAUAGUACAACAAAACGCAAAAAAAUAUUCAAUGGACCUGCAUGAGUGGUUUAAGACAUUGACGGCAGCAGAACAGGAGGGAUAUAGAACAUCUAACCCCAGAAAAUAUAAGUACAUUGAAGCCAUACAUAGCAACCAUGAGAGGGAAGAACAGAACAAUCAUGAUAUGGAAGACCAGAACAAUCAUGAGGUGGAAGACCAGAACAAUCAUAAGAGGGAAGAACUUUGCCCAAACAGACCGUCAGAUUCAGAAGAUGAAGACAUUGAGGACAGCAGCAGUGACGAAGAAGAGGACGAUCUAAACAGUGAUGAGGAUGAGGAGGAAGACGAGGGUGUCAUCACAUUUGAGAUGUAUUAG
rnacentral:lncRNA from 1 species